rnacentral:lncRNA from 1 species
AUUGUGUUUCCUCUUUUUCAUCAGGCAACCCUCCAUAGGGAGAGCUCUUUGUCUAACCAAUGUGCUCCAUGCAACCAAUAGCCCUAGAUGGAUUCAAAGCAGAUGCCAGGACCAGCCAUCAUCCACAUCAGGGAGCUCUCUGGAUGUAACAGAUGAGUGGAGCCUCCAGAUGCCAGCAGCACUAGAUGACAGACACCACAUGUAGCAGAAAAUGCCCAGUUGAGCCCAGCCACCAGAAACAAGCCACUUAUAAGGAGAAAGAGGUGAAUUAGCUCACAGUUUUGGAAGUUGAAUGCACAACACUUGUAGAUUAGAACUGGUGAAGGUCCCAUGGCAGAUGGCAGUGGCAGGAGCAUAUGCAGGAGCAAGAUUACACCUGGAACAAGGAAGCAGAGAGAGCUGCAUGGGCCAGGCCAGCAAUCCUCUCCUAAGAACUCAAGGACUCGCACCUCUGAGAAGACACAGUUAACCAUGGCAGUUGGUGGAAGGCUCAGACUUGACACAGGAGAGUAUUUAGUGGCCCCUUAAAGACCUGAGCCUUUAAAAGCAACACCAUAGGAAUAGUUAGGGAAUCGGCAGACACAGAAAGAGAAGAGUUGUGGGCCUGCCACCCCUGAAGAGCAGAACAGAAACGUGCUCUUAAAGGGGCUGCUUACUAACAAUGUUGCAGGGAUGGGGCCUCUGGGAAAGCAAGGCAGUUCAAAGACCCCCCCCCACUAAACCCAAUACUUGCAUAAAAGCCAGAAAUAUUUCAGACAUGUCCCUCAUAUUAACAGGCAUCAGUUUAUUAGAAUAGGUGGGAAAGGGGAUAAGGGAGCGAGCAGGUCCUCUCGGAGAAUAAAUGGAUAUCAUGCCUCUCUUGCACUCCAGUUUUAUUGAGGGAUCCCAGAGAAGUUUCCAGAGAGUCCCACCAAGGUUCACCUUUUGACUUUUGACUGACAGUAGAAUAAUAUCAGACUUUCAAGUCCCUGUUGCCAUGACAACAAGAGGUCAUUUUGGCCCAUGCUGCCUGGUUCCAACUGGAUUCAUCUUAUCUCCCUGAGUUCCAGAAUCUGGUGUUAUAAAGAUCACAGAAGUCUCCCCCUUCAGGUUAGCCUGCAUUCUUCUCAUGGACAUCAUUUCAGACCUGCAUUUCUUCUGCAGAUAAUAAGUAGUUUGCUAAGGAAUGUGACAUAUCCUGUCCACUUAAGCCAGGCAGGGCUACAGGUAAAUUGCUUCUUGGAAAAUAAAGCAUGUGGGGGUCAGCACAUUAGACCCAUUUUAUAGAAUUAGUCUCUUAACCUCAUGUUCCCAGCACACACAUCUGUCUGUCCCUAUCAUCAAGAGACUUAAAGGGAUGGCCUGGAUUGUGGGCUCCCUGUUUCUCUUUACAGUCUCAGCCAUCAUGUGAGUCAUUCUUGCCAUACAACAGGAGUGGGUGUGUACAGAGGUUAGAUGUGUUUUUGUCAUGGAUGCUCCUCCACGUGGAAGAAAAUAUCAGGAAUGGAGGAUAAGAAUUCCCCAGAAUAAACUAUUGUAUGGUUGAUUUGACUAGGAUUCUGCCCGAUAAAUGCAUAUAUCAUUAUAGAUCUGCAUCCCAGAUAUAACUCAAAUGUCAUUUUUGGUGUUCCUAGUUCAUUUAGACCCAUGACUAUGGACAGCCUCUGAGUUUCUGCCACAGAUGGGCAAACUAGAUAGGAUGGUAUGUGAGUUUUACAUGUUCCUCUCAGAAGGCUAGCUCAAUUGUAAGAGCACUAGGAAACAUCCAUCCCUGUUUGUGUGUACUGAUGAUACUCGUCUAAGAUAAUUUUUAAAGCCAGUACAAUUCCACAAUUCUCUAAUUAUUAUGUUUUCUCAGGAGUCCUAAAUUGUGAAGGGAAGGACAAGGGAACAGAAGGAAGACUGACUGGAAGGAAGACAAGGAAACAGAACGAAGACUGCUCUGUUUCCAGAGCAGCGUCCCGGAUCCAGGUGUUUGGACUCAGCGGAGGGUGUGGGUGCCCUGCGGUGGUGGGUGAUCCUCCCUGGGGUGUGGGAGAUAAAGGGAUCCCAGACCCAAGUCGCCUCGUUCCUGCUCUGGGACUCGGAGCCCGGCUGACUUGAGAGGGAGAGAGAUGUGGGACUCUCCUGGCCAAAGGCAGCAUGACAUAAGGGCCUGUGUGAUAAUUGAGGGAUCUUAAAUGUCUGUAUGAAUUUAGGCCACUUCUUAUUCCUUUUUCAAAUUUGUACUUAGAGUGGGCCAGGGUGUCCUGUACCUCCUUAAGGAGUUGAACUCCUCAGAAAGAGUGGGCAGAGUUUUUCCCAUUGCCUGAGACUGAGUCUGAGCCUAGUUCCUCUAAUUAUUACAGUUUCUCAGGAGGCGACCUGAAGAGUGAAGGUGUUUUGCUUUUAGAUAAGGGUGAGGGGACAAAGAGGAGGCCUGCCUAGAAGAAUUUCUGAUGCGCAGGACCCUCCUGCGCAGGUUCUGUGCACUGUGGUUGCCAUAGAAACGUGACGUCAUUGUGGCGACAGUGACGACAUUCUGAAGGAGACGGAGUUGCUUUCUUGAGAAAAUACCUGGCCCGCCUUCAGCAGAGGGUGUAGGUGUCUGGCGGUAGGGGCUGACCCUCC